ACUCACAGCUGAUUGGCUGAGUACACAUUGACUCCUCCUCCCUCAGUUCCUUAUGAAAGCUCUCUCUCCUCUCUUCAUCCUCCACUCUGUUCAUCACUCUGCUGAUCACACAGACAACAUGCUGCCCACCCUCUGUGUCCUCCUCCCUGCUCUGGCAUGGGUCAGUUCACAGAAAGUUCUGACACAGACCCCUUCAGUUCUGACGGAGCAGCAGGGCAAGACCAUCAGCAUGGACUGUAACAUCGCAAAGUAUGAAGGCAAUGGUGUUCACUGGUAUAAACAGAUUCCACAAUCAGCUCCUCAGUUUGUGUUGAGAUCUGAUUCUGGGGGCUCAGCUACUCAUCAUGGAGCUGAUUUUCCAUCUUCAAGCUUCACAUCUAAAACCUCUUCAAAAAUCAUCUAUCAGUUAAUAAUCAGUAAUGUGGAGGUAGGAGACUCUGCAGUGUAUUACUGUUAUACAUUUGAUGACUCUGCUAAUGAGUUCGUAUCACAGUGAUUGAGAUCAUGACAA